GCAUGUACACUCGUGCCCUCAACCAUCCCGUUGUCGCUGCCCCAACCAUCCCGCCGCCUCCACCCCCAAUCACCCCGUCGCCGCCGCCGUUGCCCCCAACAAUCCCGCCGCUCCUGCCGACCCUCCAACCCAACUACUACCGUCGGUGCCCCCAACCAACCCACAGCAGCGCUGGCGAGCAUCCUACUGACCCGGACCACCAUUCUCGUUGAGCCACUCCACCCGCAACCAUGCUCCUCGAAUGCCUUCCCUCGCCACCACUCUACUUCGCGAGACUUCUCCCCGAGCUGGUUUCUAUCUUAGGGCUUGUUUGGUUAAUCCCUUCCACGACGAGAUUGGAGAGGAUUGAAGGGGAUUGAGGUGAAAUUUGACUUGUAGCAGAUUUCUCCCAAUCCGCUCCAAACCCCUUCGAAUCUGAAGGAACCGAACAAGGCCUUAAGGUGCGUGUCGUUGGAGCAAAAUCUCACAAUUUCUGGGAGGGCGCAAAUACCAUAACGUUGUUGAUGGAGCUAGGAGUUCUUUGGAUGAGAUUGGUGAGUGCAAUGGUGUUGGCAUGGACUUAGAUUUGUUGAGAGGGACACAAACACACGCUUCGGGUAACUGGCUCUACCACCCUGCUAGCAGCACGGGAGCGGGCGAACUGGAACCAGAAGAUACCCACGAUCUUGAGUAGUCAGAUUUUCCGCAAAAAAAAAAAAGAGAGUAGUCAGAUCAGCAAGACCGUCUGGGUAAUUCCUCACUGAAACGAGGUUCAUCUGCUCACUUUGAUAACUUUACUUCUGUGCCUGUGUUGGUCCCUUUUCCGGAUCACGAGGUACUAUGAAAUGGUAUCAAGCCUUGCAAUUGCUGAAGAGGGUGAACUUUCAAUUGGAAGUAUUGAUGAUGUCCAGAAGCUUCAUAUCCGCACAAUUCUCUUGAUUGAACAAGCACGAAGCAUUUUCC